rnacentral:lncRNA from 1 species
ACCUUUUCCCAACCCACAAAAACCCGACACUGCCCUUUUUUAUUAUGAAAACUCAACCAAUUAAGUUUAAAUAUUUUCUUUGUAUUUUCACUUAAGAAUAAUUAAACUUAAACAGAAAAAAAUUACUUCUUCUUUCUAUUUUCUUCGCCGUUAAUCUCUCUGAACAAAACGAAAUCUUUUAAAUCACGCUCUCCUCCACUUCAAUCAUCAAAGAACAUAGCCUUUCCUUUGAAUCCAUCCCACAUCUUCAUUGCAGCUAAGAAAUCACUCAUCUUGGAAUCUCGAACUUAUCACCGAACUCCUCCACUGCUCUUGCACCUUCCGACGUUGCCGUUCUCGAUCCAUAUAACCAGUCUCUUCUUCAUCACAUUGAUUUUGGUUGACUAAUCUCUCCGUUUUUGUUGGUGAUCUGAGUUUCAAGGCCACCGAGUUAACUCGGUUUAGUCGGUUGACUCUGUUUAACGAGUCAUCUGAACGAGUCAACCAUUUACUAUUAUUUCUGGGUAAAUCGUUUUAUUGUCUUUCUACAUGUUUUAUCCUUUCUUUUUAUUGAACUUGAAUUGAGUGUAUUUUGUGGUCAACUAUUACGAAGAUUCCCUAAUAGAUGUGGGCAUUAUGAUGCUUUAGAGCCUCUGUGUGGAUAUUUUUGCUUCAGAUCUUGCAUCAUUAGACAAAAAGACAUGUGCUUUCAUCUAUGGCGUUUCCUACGCCGUUUUCCAUCGUCUCCACAACCAUUCUCUGCCGUCUCUGUCACCGCACCACCGUCUCCACCAACAUUCUCUACCAUCUCUGCCAUAAUUCUAACGUGCAUACUCUGGUUUGUACACUGAUGAUUAUAUGGUCGUAUGUACAUAUCAAUUUUUUU